rnacentral:misc_RNA from 1 species
GGGACUUCGUGUCCUUAAUUGGUAAUGGCAAUUAGCAAGUAAUUGAAAAUCACUACCUCACUCUGUCACAAAUUAAAAGUCCUCUUCGAAAAACGAAAUCGAAAAACAGCAAAAAAAAUUUUUAAAAAAAAGCCAUCUCCUCUCUCUCUCAAGUAAGUUCAUAACCACUGUCAUCGCCACCAUUCACAGCCACUUUCAUUAUUUUCUGGCA